rnacentral:rRNA from 1 species
UACGAGAGGCCCAAACGUUAUUCGGAAUUACUGGGCUUAAAGAGUUCGUAGGCGGCGCAGAAAAGUAGGGUGUGAAAGCCCUCGGCUCAACCGAGGAAUUGCGCUCUAAACUACUGUGCUUGAGGAAGCUAGAGGUGAGCGGAACUGAUGGUGGAGCGGUGAAAUGCGUUGAUAUCAUCAGGAACACCAGUGGCGAAGGCGGCUCACUGGCCCGGAACUGACGCUGAGGUACGAAAGCGUGGGGAGCAAAC